CCUACGGGGAGCAGCAGUGGGGGAUAUUGCACAAUGGGGGAAACCCUGAUGCAGCGACGCCGCGUGGGUGAAGAAGCGCCUCGGCGCGUAAAGCCCUGUCAGCAGGGAAGAAAAUGACGGUACCUGAAGAAGAAGCCCCGGCUAACUACGUGCCAGCAGCCGCGGUAAUACGUAGGGGGCAAGCGUUAUCCGGAUUUACUGGGUGUAAAGGGGGCGCAGACGGCGAUGCAAGCCAGGAGUGAAAGCCCGGGGCCUAACCCCGGGACUGCUCUGGGAACUGGGUGGCUAGAGUGCAGGAGGGGCAGGCGGAAUUCCUGGUGUAGCGGUGAAAUGCGUAGAUAUCAGGAAGAACACCAGUGGCGAAGGCGGCCUGCUGGACUGCAACUGACGUUGAGGCCCGAAAGCGUGGGGAGCAAACAGGAUUAGAUACCCUGGUAGUC
rnacentral:rRNA from 1 species